UUCGAUUCCGUAAGUAGCGGCGAGCGAACGCGGAAGAGCCCAAACCAAUAAAGUUUUCUUUAUUGGGGUUGCGGACAUAUCAUAACGAAGAGGUAUCGUAAUUGAAGAGGUUUGGAAAGACCCACCACAGAAGGUAAUAGUCCUGUAUGUUAAACGAGAAAACUUUAGAUAUGAUCCAGAGUACCACGGGACACGUGAAACCCUGUGGGAAGCAGGAGGGACCACCCUCCAAGGCUAAAUACUACCUAGUGACCGAUAGCGUAUAGUACCGUGAGGGAAAGGUGAAAAGAACCCCGGGAGGGGAGUGAAAUAGAACCUGAAACCCUGCACUUACAAGCUGUGGAAGCACAUUUCUUGUGUGACCGCGUACUUUUUGUAGAACGGGCCAACGAGUUACGUUAAGUAGCAAGGUUAAGCACUUAAGGUGUGGAGCCGUAGCGAAAGCGAGUUUUAACUGAGCGUUCAGUUACUUGACGUAGACCCGAAACCGGGCGACCUACCCAUGAGCAGGAUGAAGCGAAAGUAAAAUUUCGUGGAGGUCCGAACCCACGAGCGUUGAAAAGCUCGGGGAUGACUUGUGGGUAGCGGUGAAAUUCCAAUCGAGCCCGGAGAUAGCUGGUUCUCCCCGAAAUAGCUUUAGGGCUAGCCUCAAGGUGAGAGAUACGGAGGUAGAGCACUGAAUGUCCUAGGGGGUAUUGCACCUACCGAAGACUAUCAAACUCCGAAUGCCGUCAUCUUAUACUUGGGAGUCAGACUGUGGGUGAUAAGAUUCAUAGUCGAAAGGGCAACAGCCCAGAUCGUCAGCUAAGGUCCCUAAAUGUAAGUUAAGUGGUAAAGGAUGUGGGAUUGCACAGACAACCAGGAUGUUGGCUUAG
rnacentral:rRNA from 1 species